rnacentral:rRNA from 1 species
GAUGAACGCUGGCGGCGUGCCUAAUACAUGCAAGUCGAGCGAACAGACGAGGAGCUUGCUCCUCUGACGUUAGCGGCGGACGGGUGAGUAACACGUGGAUAACCUACCUAUAAGACUGGGAUAACUUCGGGAAACCGGAGCUAAUACCGGAUAAUAUAUUGAACCGCAUGGUUCAAUAGUGAAAGACGGUUUUGCUGUCACUUAUAGAUGGAUCCGCGCCACAUUAGCUAGUUGGUAAGGUAACGGCUUACCAAGGCAACGAUGCGUAGCCGACCUGAGAGGGUGAUCGGCCACACUGGAACUGAGACACGGUCCAGACUCCUGCGGGAGGCAGCAGUAGGGAAUCUUACGCAAUGGGCGAAAGCCUGACGGAGCAACGCCGCGUGAGUGAUGAAGGUCUUCGGAUCGUAAAACUCUGUUAUUAGGGAAGAACAAAUGUGUAAGUAACUAUGCACGUCUUGACGGUACCUAAUCAGAAAGCCACGGCUAACUACGUG